GGGAGUCCUGGCUGCAACAUCUGUCACCACAUAUAUUGCCAGGGUUUGAUUAAACUGAUCUGGCUGGGUGGGCAGGUGUCCCCUCCUCCAUUCCUCUCCAUGUGCAUCCCUCCUGGAGCUGUAUGCUGGGUCAAAGAGGAUGGUCUUCCCCCUCAUAGAGGAGGACCGUUCUUCUGUCAAGGGUAUAUGAGUAGCUGUGCUCCCUGCUGGCAUCUCCAAACAAGCUCCCAAGCUGUGAGUUUUGUGAGACACCCGCAGGAUGGCUUAGAGGAUUUAAUGAAAUACGGAAUGUGAAAACUGUACUUU
rnacentral:snRNA from 1 species